AGCGAACGCUGGCGGCAGGCCUAACACAUGCAAGUCGAACGAAGCCUUCGGGCUUAGUGGCGGACGGGUGAGUAACACGUGGGAACGCACCUUUUGGUUAGUAAUAAUGCAGAGAAAUUUGCGCUAAAACCGAAUGAGCCCUUCGGGGGAAAGAUUUAUCGCCGAAAGAUCUGCCCGCGUUGGAUUAGGUAGUUGGUGUGGUAAAGGCGCACCAAGCCUACGAUCCAUAGCUGGUCUGAGAGGAUGAUCAGCCACACUGGGACUGAGACACGGCCCAGACUCCUACGGGAGGCAGCAGUGGGGAAUCUUGCGCAAUGGGCGAAAGCCUGACGCAGCCAUGCCGCGUGAAUGAUGAAGGUCUUAGGAUUGUAAAAUUCUUUUACCAGGGACGAUAAUGACGGUACCUGGAGAAAAAGCCCCGGCUAACUUCGUGCCAGCAGCCGCCGUAAUAC
rnacentral:rRNA from 1 species